GGGGGGGGGGGGGGGUUGUUAGAGUGAUGCCAAGAAGAGAUGACGAAUUAUGAUGCUAAGAGCUUCAGACAUGUCCCGGUAUAGCUGAGGGUCAACGAGAGAACGGUCGACCAAUCAGGAGAAUGACUUUUGAUUUCAGCUGGAGUCGAUUUUGUUGUCCUGUCAUGAUUCAUCACGUCAUGUUGUUGUUCAUGCUGAGAGUUUAUCGACUAAUGUAGUUUUUGAAAUAUGAGGUCAAAAGUUAAGAAAUAGAAUUUGGCUUUU